rnacentral:rRNA from 1 species
AUAGAGACUCAGAGCUGGCAUAUCAAUAAGCGGAGGAAAAGAAACUAACAAGGAUUCCCCUUAGUAACGGCGAGUGAAGCGGGAAGAGCUCAAAUUUGAAAUCUUCAAGGGUUCUACCUUGACGAAUUGUAGUUUAAAGAAGUGUUUUCUGUUAGUGGAGUUGGCAAAAGUUCUUUGGAAUAGGACAUCAUAGAGGGUGAGAAUCCCGUAUUUGGUCAUUCCUUCUAGCUUUGUGAUACACUUUCAAAGAGUCGGAUUGUUUGGGAAUGCAGUCCAAAAUGGGUGGUAAAUUUCAUCUAAAGCUAAAUAUUGGCGAGAGACCGAUAGCGAACAAGUACCGUGAGGGAAAGAUGAAAAGAACUUUGAAAAGAGAGUUAAACAGUACGUGAAAUUGUCAAAAGGGAAGCGUUUGACACCAGUGUUGUUUUCUCGAAAAUCAAUUAAAAAUGGCAGGAUUUUGUGUUGUAUUGACUUUAUCAGCUUUCUGCACUUUUUUCUUGUCUUUUUUAAUGCACUUUUCGUUUAACAAGUCAACAUCAAUUUCUUUUGUUGUAAAAGGGUCAUUGGAAGGUGGCUUUUCUUUCGGAGAAAGUGUUUAUAGCCUUAUGACUUCUGCAAUCGGAGAGAUUGAGGUCUGCAGCGUAGAUCCUUCGGGGUUAGAUACACUUGUGCUAAGUUAUAGCUUUUCAUAGACAACUUGUUGACUAUGUUUAAGUCAUUGUAGCUUACUCGCUUAUGCUAUUUUACCUACGCUUAGGAUGUUGAUAGUCACAGCGUGUAC